rnacentral:rRNA from 1 species
UACGUAGGGUGCAAGCGUUAAUCGGAAUUACUGGGCGUAAAGCGUGCGCAGGCGGUUUUGUAAGACCGAUGUGAAAUCCCCGGGCUUAACCUGGGAACUGCAUUGGUGACUGCAAGGCUUGAGUGUGUCAGAGGGAGGUGGAAUUCCGCGUGUAGCAGUGAAAUGCGUAGAUAUCGGAAGGAACAUCAGUGGCGAAAGCGGCUUCCUGGUCCAGCACCGACGUUCAGGCACGAAAGCGUGGGGAGCAAACAGG